UUGGAGGGCAAGUCUGGUGCCAGCAGCCGCGAUAAUUCCAGCUCCAAUAGCGUAUAUUAAAGUUGUUGCAGUUAAAAAGCUCGUAGUUGAACUUCGGGGUCUACCCAUUGGUCAGGCUUAAUUGUCUGCACUGGUGAGAUGGAUCUCUACCUUCUGAGGAACUUUCAUGCCAUUUAUUUGGUGUGAUGGGAAAUCAGGACUGUUACUUUGAAAAAAUUAGAGUGUUUAAAGCAGACUAUCGUCUGAAUACAUUAGCAUGGAAUAAUGAAAUAGGACGGACUGAUUCUAUUUCGUUGGUUUCUAGGAUCACCGUAAUGAUUAAUAGGGAUAGUUGGGGGCAUUAGUAUUCAAUUGUCAGAGGUGAAAUUCUUGGAUUUAUUGAAGACUAACUACUGCGAAAGCAUUUGCCAAGGAUGUUUUCAUUAAUCAAGAACGAAAGUUAGGGGAUCGAAGACGAUCAGAUACCGUCGUAGUCUUAACCAUAAACUAUGCCGACUAGGGAUCGGACGAAGUUAAUUUUAUAAUGACGCGUUCGGCGCCUUACGGGAAAC
rnacentral:rRNA from 1 species